rnacentral:rRNA from 1 species
GUAGGGGUACUGAGACCUUUGUAGCGCAGCUAACGCACUAAGUAGACCGCCUGGGGAGUACGGCCGCAAGGUUAAAACUCAAAUGAAUUGACGGGGGCCCGCACAAGCAGUGGAGCAUGUGGUUUAAUUCGAUGCAACGCGAAGAACCUUACCAGGCCUUGACAUCCUCGGAACUUUCUAGAGAUAGAUUGGUGCCUUCGGGAACCGAGUGACAGGUGCUGCAUGGCUGUCGUCAGCUCGUGUCGUGAGAUGUUGGGUUAAGUCCCGUAACGAGCGCAACCCUUGUCCUUAGUUGCCAGCACAUAAUGGUGGGAACUCUAAGGAGACUGCCGGUGACAAACCGGAGGAAGGUGGGGACGACGUCAAGUCAUCAUGGCCCUUACGGCCUGGGCUACACACGUGCUACAAUGGCUAGGACAGACGGCCGCAAACCCGCGAGGGGGAGCCAAUCCGACAAACCUAGUCGUAGUCCGGAUCGGAGUCUGCAACUCGACUCCGUGAAGUCGGAAUUGCUAGUAAUCGCGAAUCAGAAUGUCGCGGUGAAUACGUUCCCGGGCCUUGUACACACCGCCCGUCACACCAUGGGAGUGGGUUGCUCCAGAAGUGGUUAGUCUAACCUUCGGGGGGACGAUCACCACGGAGUGAUUCAUGACUGGGGUGAAGUCGUAACAAGGUAGCCCUAGGGGAACCUGUGGUUGGAUCACCUCCUU